rnacentral:rRNA from 1 species
UCGAGAAUUUUUCUCAAUGGGCGCAAGCCUGAAGGAGCGACGCCGCGUGGAGGAUGAAGGCCUUCGGGUUGUAAACUCCUGUCAUUUGGGAACAAACCUUUCAUUUAACUAGUGAAAGACUGAUAGUACCAGAAGAGGAAGAGACGGCUAACUAUGUGCCAGCAGCCGCGGUAAUGCAGAGGUCUCAACCGUUGUUCGGAUUCAUUGGGCGUAAAGGGUGCGUAGGCGGUCGCGCAAGUCGGAUGUGAAAUCUUAGGGCUCAACCCUGAAACUGCAUUCGAUACUGCGUGGCUAGAGUACUGGAGAGGAGACUGGAAUUUACGGUGUAGCAGUGAAACGCGUAGAUAUCGUAAGGAAGACCAGUGGCGAAGGCGAGUCUCUGGACAGUUACUGACGCUGAGGCACGAAGGCCAGGGGAGCAAA